rnacentral:rRNA from 1 species
CUGAUCAGCCAUGCCGCGUGUGUGAGAAGGCCUUAUGGUUGUAAAGCACUUUAAGCAGUGAAGAAUACAUCAUGGCUAAUAUCCGUGAUGAAUGACAUUAGCUGCAGAAUAAGCACCGGCUAACUCUGUGCCAGCAGCCGCGGUAAUACAGAGGGUGCGAGCGUUAAUCGGAAUUACUGGGCGUAAAGCGAGCGUAGGUGGUUUAUUAAGUCAGAUGUGAAAUCCCUGGGCUUAACCUAGGAACUGCAUCUGAUACUGACAAACUAGAGUAGGUGAGAGGAAAGUAGAAUUCCAGGUGUAGCGGUGAAAUGCGUAGAGAUCUGGAGGAAUACCGAUGGCGAAGGCAGCUUUCUGGCAUCAUACUGACACUGAGGUUCGAAAGCGUGGGUAGCAAACA